AGUAGAGCUGACCCUGGUGGCAAAAACUGCAGAGCCCAUGAAAGUGUCAGUCCUACAGAUCCAAAGUUACAGGACCUUCAUGACAUGGGAUAACAACAGGUUAUCUGAGAGAAGUUCAGAUGAGCAUCCAGUAUAAAUGGUGUAGCAGAAGCCAGAAGCCUCAGUCCAGAGCAAUGACUUCUUGAAGUGAACACUUGCAAGUAAUGAUACGUGGCUAAAAAGAGACCUGUGAAAAAUACUUGGACAAAUGAUGCCCACUCAAGGGUAUUGACAACUUAUAAGAGAGACAAAAAAGAUUCCUGGUGUGGGGAGGAGUGCCCAGACAGAUGCCCGAAGCUCUGUGCUACACUGGAAAAAUAUUGAACACGAAAAUGCUAACUUGUGCUUGGCUUGGAGGACAACAUUUCUUAAUCCUCUAAAACUUGUAUCUGUGAACAUAGCAGUAGGGACAACAACAACAACAACAACCAAAACCAUCCAGAGCCUUGCAACCUUGUCAUGUAAGAAUGACACACAGACCAUCCAGAAACCUGUGAAGGCUAUUCUUUCAAUGCCAGUGAUAAACUCUAAUUCAUUGCUAGAAGGGCAAUGUGUGGGCUACAGUGGGAAUUCCAAUCUACCUUCAAAUGACCAACCAUCUCCUUUAAAAACUUCUAGAAGGGAAAUUUGGCACUGAAGCAACAGCAAACAGCAAAAACUUGUCCGUAGGCCUAUGAUAUCUUCAUGCUACAGAAUGCCUCACUCCCUACUCAGAGCUAAAACAAUGCUUCAGCAACCCACCUGAGACUCUCAGGCAGCCAAUUUAUCAAAAGGAGUUAAAGUCCUCCAUUCGGAGUAACUGCUUCGGAGGA